AAUAAAAAAGGCCCAGGAGCUGGUUUCCUGACCGGAGAUAAAAGAGCUGGUGUUCCUCCUGGGCAGAGCAGUGUUCGGUAGAACUAGAGGUUGAACUUAGAGUCAGCCUCUGGGCCUUCCCUCCCUGGGAAGUUUCCUUUGUUUUGUUCACUAAGGGCUCCAGACGACAUUUAACUUCACAAAACUGGGUUGAAAGUGGGCACAAAAGAAAAGUCAGUGGACUCCAGACUUAUUAUAUAUUCUGUCUUUGAUACCACCUUUCAUUCACCCAGCAUCCAGAGGAGAGGACUCUUGUUCACAUAUUUCCCUACUUUACUCCCCAAAUGCAGUCAUCCAUUAAGCCUUGUGGAUUGUACUGUAGAAAGGUUUGAGUGCAGGCCUUCCUUCCUAAUCUUAAUGCAAUGACUUGAAUCCAUGCUUGUUCGUUUCUGACUCCCUUUCAUGGACAGCAGAGUUAUUUUUUUCCCAAAGCAAGUUAAUUCUUAACACUCCUUUUGAAAACCUCUGUGAUCUUAUUGUCCUCUGCAGUUAAUCCUAAUUUUUUACUUGGCAUGCAGACCCUCCUUAGGCUGGUUGAAAGUAAUCUGCUCAGUUUUACCUUCUUCUGCCUUUGGGUUCCCCACUACCCUUGCUAUUUUCUUUUUUUUAAAGCUUUUUGGGCAGCUCUGUCCUUCACAUUCAUGAUCAUGUUUGAUCCUACCUGCUAUGUAGACACUAUUAUUCCCAUUUUGUGGAUGAGAAAAUGAAAUGCAGAGAGAUUCAUGGUUUGCCCCAGUUUUCCUAGCUGGGGAGAAUGAGCCGUGAUCUAACUCAGUUCUGUCUGACUCCAAAGCCCCCGCUCAUACCUAUUUGCUAUGUGGAGACUGCACAUGCUUUGCACGUGCUGCGUGCUCUACCUGAGAAAGGCUGCCUUCUUGCCUUUCCUCCCUUCCAGGGAGGUUCUAGGUUCAACUCGAAUGCACCUAGUUUGUGAGCCUUCCCCAUUCCCCUUCAGGAUGAGUUGUUUCCUCCUUUGUGUGACCAUAGCACUUGCUUUAUGUUUCUCUUUGAGCUCUUGUCACUAUCUGAUUUGUGUUAGACUUGUCUUUCCUACUGGGUUGAAUUCCUCAAGGGCAGGGAUCUUGACCUAGUUCAUCCUGGUAUCCCCUAGGCUAUCCCAGUUGAUCCAGUUUGGAAUUCCUAGGUUCCAUGGGUCUGAGAGAGGAGUUACUUUGGCUUUUGAAUUAUUUUUGUGUCUCCAAAAAAUUGGAGCUUAGAAAAAAUAUAACAUUAACUGAGUACUUAUUAAGUGCUAGUCCAUUUACAUUAGUUCUUUUCAAGAACACUUAAAGUUGGUGUAUUGUUAUCUAUAUUUUACAAUGGAGGAAAUGGUGAGGCUUAGAUAGGUUGAGUGUUACUUAAGGUGGAGUAGCCGUGUGGGUUGGGGAGAGAGGAGAUGGUAAAUAUCCCUGGCUUCAAAUCCCAUGUUCUCUGCCCCUUGUCACUGAACUGCCUCCUUUCUUACUCCAAAGAUGCACUGGGGCAUCCCUGGAGUAAGGAGCUGGGGGAGGAUGUCAUUUCUCGAGUUGUGGAUGGAAAUUCAGUUCAGUAUGGGAAAUGCUGGCCAUGUGAUGCUGAUCAUUGGCUCUGAGAGCCAGUGUUUAAGCGUGGUUGGUUAAAAAAAAGAUUAUUGAUGCAGGUUGAUCAAUACAUGGGGUGGAAAUAAUAGAAGGGAUUUUUAAUGGUGAAAAGUAAACAUGUUGAAUAAGCAAAUGAAUUACAUCUUUAAAAACUUGAGAUAUCCUCAAAAAUUGUUUUCCAGGACACUUGAGAAUCAAAGAUUGCUUUGUAACAAUGGACUGUCUGCAGAUAUUUAUUUAGCACUGUCUGCAGUGUUAAAUACAUUAUUAAAAGAACAGUGAUUUGCAUGCAUAUUUCAGGCUGAGAAGUCAUUUUAGGCAAAGUGAAUAUGAUAAAGUCUUUAAUUUAAAAAGCAUUUGCCAAAACGAUUAGCCUUUUUAGAAACAAUGUUAAUAAAAGAUUAAGUACAUUUUAAAUUCGCAAGCAGCUAGUUCAGCAUUGAUGGCAACAACAGAUUGUAACCAUUGCUUCAGUCAGGAAGGGAAAUAGCUACAAAAGUGAAACCUGUAGUUGCUGCUAAGGGAAACUGAUUGCAGUCUGGUAAUUUUUCAGCCUCUCAAUUCUGGACAUCUUCUCUAAGGCCUCUCCAGCUGAGUAUCUUUCCACAGGACUUUUCUCAGUGGGGAAAUUGGUGGGUUGAAGGGAGGAGUGACAUUUUAUUAGUACUAUGGCAACCACUGAGAUAAGGAAUUGAGAUUUGUAGCAACCUUUUAAUGCUGUUUGAAUAAUGUUCAGUCAGAACACCUUAUUGGUGUGCUUUCUCUCGGUCCAUAAUCACAUGUGAAUGAGUACGAGGAGUCCCUAAAUAACAGUUCGUUCCUUGGAAUUCAUUGUACUAAGCAGUGAACUAGUUUGCUUUUGAGCAGGGGUUUAGGUUCUCUCAGGCUGGCUAAUUAACACGAGAGAGCAGUGAAUGUGUCUGGUAGGUGUGUGUGUCAGUUGAGGGGAAUUUUACAAGUUAUGUUAUACCAGCAUAAAUGUUCUGAAUCUGCUGAGUUUUGGGGAAUUGAGAAAAGCAUUGCAUUUUUUAUCCUAAAUAGAAAAUUCCAGUAAGUUGGGGUAUUUUCAGCCUCCUUUAAUGAUAUUCUUUGUGAAUGUUUCUGUACUAAAAGAUAGUUGGGACAGGUCCUGGGAAGGAAGGUAUACUCAGUUAUUGCAACAUGUGGAAUCUCUUCCUAAAGUAUAUAUUAGAACAAAACACUUGUCUCAGGGUGUUUGGACCUUUUCUGAUAUUGUUACAACUCUAAUACAACUCUUGUUAGUAGGCUGUUGAUUUAAUGCUUUAUUGUACCAAGUCACUAGAAAAUAUUCUCAUCCCAUGGAAAAGUAUGGCUGUUCAAGAGAUACUUCUAUUUUCUCUGCUGUAACAGUUAGGAGUUAAAGCUUAAAGAACCAGGAAGACAUCCUUGGGGGCCCAGACUUCGUAUCGAGCCACCUUGAGUUUUCCCCUGAGUGGUGGCUGAGUCUAAGGUCAUUCUUUGCCCUGUGUUUCUCCUGUCUUGUCUAGUCAGUCACCCAAGGAAGAACCUGGGAGGCCUGCCUCGCCCCUUCCUCCCACAUCUCACCACCUGCCAGAUUCUGCUGAACCACUCCUUUACCUCUGUUCUCUGCCUGUCUUUUCUCCAUCCUCAUUGGUGGCAGAACACCUGCAUCAGAUUCCUCAUUGGUUUCCUUAUUACUUAAUUCCACACAAUUCCUAGCCAGCAGGGUGUCGAAGAGAAGUGCAUGUGCCCAGUUUCGGCUCUCAGAGAUUGGAAUCAAAUUCAGUAGGUCAGGACUGUGUUAUUUUAAAAUGCACAUCAUGUCAAAAUUCAUCAGGCUAUACAUUAAGGUUUGUGCAUUUUAUUGUAUGAACCUCAUUGUAUGUAAAAGUAAUUUAAAAAAUGAACGUUCCUUAGCAUGUUCCUUUAAGAUCUGGUCUUGCCAGGCUUCUCUCGCCCCACUUGCCUAGGGAAUCCCCUAAACACAGCAUGCUUUGCACACCCUGGGUCUCUUGAUGGGUGUCCCUCUUCCUUCUCUGCACUUAACUGCUUGUCCUGUAAGACUCAGCUCAAGGGUCACCUCUGGGUUCUGCACUUGAGUUGCUCAGUGAGGGAGAAAAAUGGCAUGCAUCUACCUAGAACAAAGAAAUCCCGGGCUGUCCACUGCAUGCUGCGUGUAGGCCAGCUUAAUGAUGGAGUACAGCGGAGGGAUAGGCCCUCUGACAUUGGGAAGGAGGUGGGACUUGGGCUGACCCCUCCAGAAUGAGUGGUUAAAGGACCCAGCAGCCAGUGAGGUGGAGUAGCUUUCAUCCCUCAGAAUGGGUGUGGGCAGUGGCUAUGAGAGGUGCCCUGAGGAACCCCAGUGACGGCCUGCCUACCCCCCAGUAUGGCUGCAUGCUUCUGACCUUGUGCUCUCCUCUCCUUGGGUUUUAGUUAGGCCAGCCCCUGAAGUGCUUCCCAGAAGCACUAAGGAACUGGCUUGGUUUUGUCUAAGGUUGGCAUGUCCAGCACUACAAGCCUCCAGAGCUAUGAGCCCUCCUUCCCUCCACCCUGGUGGGGCUAAGUUUUCUGGCCAACUUCUGGAAGAGUUGCCUCUCACGAAAGGUCAUCAUGGAAACUCGUGCUGAUGGGCUUAAAGACAGGUGGCAGAGAGAUGCUAUGUUUUUAAUUUUUGGGGUCGCUUGUGUUCCCAGUUGCAGCGUCCAGGUGAGGCAGCAGGCCACUUGCUUGUGAGGACUUCUGCUUGCAGGGCUCCUCUGGCCGCCUCAUCCUGUCUGUUCUUGAUGGCAUAGAUAAGCCUAACUCUGUCCCCAGUAAAAAGGAGAGGAGAGGGCCAUUAACUGAGGACACAGCUAUUAAGAGGGAGAAUAGUGUGGUCCUUAAGAGCUCAGGUUCUAGAGUUUUGAGUCCUGAGGCUGCCACAGCUUGGCUGAGGGAACCUGGGCAAGUUACUUAACCUCUCUCUGCAUUAGUUACUUCACCUGUGUGUGAAGGUUAAAUGUGUUAAUAUUUAUGUCCAGUGCUUAGAAGAGUGCUUGGCAUAUACUAAGUGUGAGAAGCUAGGUAUUGAGAAAAUAGAUAUUGGCAUUUGUAUUGGGAGUGAGCAGGGUGUUCCAGGGCAGUGAGGACAGCCUGGUGGGAGGGAAGGGGUCGGAGGAGUGAGAGGAGAAAGUGCUGGCAAGGUGGGUUGGGGCCAGGUAGGGGCGGGCCUGCCUGGAUGUGACCCCCACCCCAGCAGAGCCCGUUCUCUUGUGGCACUCUCCUGAAGGAACCUGAUCCUUACCGGUAGUGAGAAGUUAAUUGAGAUGGCUGUGGGAAUAUGUGUUUGUUUAAAAGUGUUCACUUUUCUCAACAAAAUUGAAAAGGUCUUGAAUUCAAAAUUUGUUUUCCCAGUAUGCCAUACUCUCCCCCUGUGUAUUUUCUCUUCCUGUCCUGAAUGGUCCUGCAGUGAGGAUAGUGACAGCCACUGUGUCCAGAGAUGAAUCCAGCUUUGAAGCAGAAAGUUAAGAACUGUUGCUUACGGUGGCUGUUCCAUGUCUCCUCCUGGCCUUUGCUGCAGUCUCUAGAAUUUCAGAGCUGCAAGGGGCCCCCUUGACAGGCAGGAGCCUGAGGCUUAGAGGGCACCACCCACGGCCUGGGUGGCUCACUCUCUGCUCGCAUCACCUGCCCUGAGGGUCUUGCUCCUGCUUUUCACAAGGCUGCUGUGGGUUUUAAGGAGGGCCGGGGUGCAGAACAGGGGAAUUUACUUCAGCUUAGUGGUUGUUUGGGCCUUGUUCUGUUUUUGACAGUUCCAGGUCUGUGUUGAUUAUAGUUUGUUGUACUUCAUUGUCUUGUCAUAUUUUGCUUCCACAUCUUACUGGCAUAGUUCAGCGGAGGGGCGGAAUACUGUUUGCACAACCCCUAGCCCAGCAGGCACAUUGGCAACCAAAGCAGUCAGUAAGGUCAAGCCCAGUGCUCGUGGCUGUGUUCUCUGUGGUUCUGAGUGGGGAUGCUGCCUGACUAUCAGAGGUUGGGCAGCGGGGUAACUCAAGUUGAACAGCCUCUGAACCCUUUCUGAGUUGGUUUGUAAAUGUCUGCCUUACACCAGUGUACCUCUCAGGAACCUCUGACCUUGCAGAAGGAUCUGCCACGGGUUUUACGCACGCAGUUGCCACUCUGCUCACUUGUCCUGGGGCAGCUCUGGAGUGUGUGAUGUAGGUGAAGAAUGUGAGGCACAGCCAUGUUCAGAUGGAAGCAGAAACAUUUUCCAGGAGUGAGGUCGGUGGCCAGAAGCUGGCCGAGGA